UUAUUCUUCAAUAUUUUUUGCUUCCCAAUAAAAAGUGAAUGGAAAAUUAAAUUAAAAAAGGAACAGAAUGACUAUCGUUCAUAGUUCGAAGUCAAUAGGAAUCGAAACAUCCGGCUGGUCUCUGUUUUUCGUACUAACUUUACCAUAGAAGAGAAGGAUGUAUGAUGCAGUAUAAAAUAUACAAACGGCAGAGUCUCAGGAGGGUGUAGUUCAGCGGAUUGAUGGGUAUAACAGGGAUGUCCAUUUUGAUUGUCAGAAGGUUGAAGUAUCUUCUACUUCGGUGUUCGUGACUCACGAAACCUUGAUGGAUCGAUUUGCGAACGACCAUAGUUAAGAAGAGUGUACUGAGGGGUGGCAAUCGCAUGGUGAGAAGCAGAAGAAAGUGGAAAGGGUGAGAGAGAGAGAGAGAGACGCAUUCGGAAUACGUGAUCGAUGCGUCCAUUCAAGUUGGACCGACUUUUACCGUAGGAAAACUUUCGAGAUGCAUAACUUUCGCGAUGAAUGCUUCAUCGACAGAUUUACGAUAGCGCGUGCUCGCAAACGAGUACACGCGUGUUUACUUUGCUGCACUGCCCGUUCACGCGAGCACGAUCUCUGAAAGAGAGAGAGAGAGAGUGUGUGUGUGUGUGUGUGUGUGUGAGAGAGAGAGAAGUAACCUCCUGAAAAAGCAUUGAAAAUCGCUCAGAGGCAAGGAAAAGAAUUUAUUGCUUCGCAGAUUGCGAAAUGUUACAAUAC